rnacentral:rRNA from 1 species
CUCAGGACGAACGCUGGCGGCGUGCCUAAUACAUGCAAGUCGAACGAACGGAGGAAGAGCUUGCUCUUCCAAAGUUAGUGGCGGACGGGUGAGUAACACGUGGGCAACCUGCCUGUAAGUUGGGGAUAACUCCGGGAAACCGGGGCUAAUACCGAAUGAUAAAGUGUGGCGCAUGCCACGCUUUUGAAAGAUGGUUUCGGCUAUCGCUUACAGAUGGGCCCGCGGUGCAUUAGCUAGUUGGUAGGGUAAUGGCCUACCAAGGCAACGAUGCAUAGCCGACCUGAGAGGGUGAUCGGCCACACUGGGACUGAGACACGGCCCAGACUCCUACGGGAGGCAGCAGUAGGGAAUCUUCCGCAAUGGACGAAAGUCUGACGGAGCAACGCCGCGUGUAUGAAGAAGGUUUUCGGAUCGUAAAGUACUGUUGUUAGAGAAGAACAAGGAUAAGAGUAACUGCUUGUCCCUUGACGGUAUCUAACCAGAAAGCCACGGCUAACUACGUGCCAG